AUGGUCGGCCGCCUCUUCUGCUGGAUGAUCCUGGGUCUCCUGGGAGCAGGACACACGGAACCUGGAGUCAGCCAAACACCAACCCACGAUGUCACAGAGGUGGGACAGAGCACAGUUCUGAAAUGUGACCCUGUUUCUGGCCAUCUUUCCCUCUAUUGGUACCGACAGACCCCAGAAAAAGGAAUGGAGUUUCUAAUUUCUUUCUACAACAAGGCUCCUUCUGAGAAGGCAGACUUCUUCCAGGAACGGUUCUCAGCUGCCGUACACGAGGACACACGCGCCACACUGACGAUCCAGCCCGUGCAGCUGGGGGACUCUGCCACGUAUCUGUGUGCCAGCAGCUUGGCCACAGCACUACAGAGUCACUUCCUGCCCGUGCACGAACUCCACAGCUCCUCCUGGGUCUGCAGGCUCUCACAGCCCCUCUCACACUAA